rnacentral:rRNA from 1 species
GACGAACGCUGGCGGCGUGCUUAACACAUGCAAGUCGAACGGAAAGGCCCUGCUUUUGUGGGGUGCUCGAGUGGCGAACGGGUGAGUAACACGUGAGUAACCUGCCCUUGACUUUGGGAUAACUUCAGGAAACUGGGGCUAAUACCGGAUAGGAGCUCCUGCUGCAUGGUGGGGGUUGGAAAGUUUCGGCGGUUGGGGAUCGACUCGCGGCUUAUCAGCUUGUUGGUGGGGUAGUGGCUUACCAAGGCUUUGACGGGUAGCCGGCCUGAGAGGGUGACCGGCCACAUUGAGACUGAGAUACUGCCCAGACUCGGACGUGAGGCAUGAGUUGGGGAGAGGGACCCAUGUGCGGAAGCCUGAUGCAGCACAGCCGCGUGCGGGAUGACGGCCUUCGGGUUGUGAACGGCUGGCGCCUGUGACGAAGCGUGAGUGACGGUAAUGGGUAAAGAAGCACCGGCUAACUACGUG